AUUGAACGCUGGCGGCAGGCCUAACACAUGCAAGUCGAGCGGAUGAAGGGAGCUUGCUCCUGGAUUCAGCGGCGGACGGGUGAGUAAUGCCUAGGAAUCUGCCUGGUAGUGGGGGAUAACGUCCGGAAACGGGCGCUAAUACCGCAUACGUCCUGAGGGAGAAAGUGGGGGAUCUUCGGACCUCACGCUAUCAGAUGAGCCUAGGUCGGAUUAGCUAGUUGGUGGGGUAAAGGCCUACCAAGGCGACGAUCCGUAACUGGUCUGAGAGGAUGAUCAGUCACGCUGGAACUGAGACACGGUCCAGACUCCUACGGGAGGCAGCAGUGGGGAAUAUUGGACAAUGGGCGAAAGCCUGAUCCAGCCAUGCCGCGUGUGUGAAGAAGGUCUUCGGAUUGUAAAGCACUUUAAGUUGGGAGGAAGGGCAGUAAGUUAAUACCUUGCUGUUUUGACGUUACCAACAGAAUAAGCACCGGCUAACUUCG
rnacentral:rRNA from 1 species